GAAUUCAGAAUAUCCAGUUAUGGAUAAAAAUGAGCUGGUGCAGAAGGCCAAGCUGGCCGAGCAGGCAGAGCGAUAUGAUGACAUGGCAGCCUGCAUGAAGUCUGUCACUGAGCAAGGAGCUGAGCUGUCGAAUGAGGAGAGGAACCUUCUCUCUGUUGUUAUAAAAAUGUUGUAGGAACCCAUAGGUCAUCUUGGAGGGUUGUCUCAAGUAUUGAGCAGAAGACGGAAGGCGCUGAGAAAAAGCAGCAGAUGGCUGGAGAACACAGAAGAUCAAGACUGAGCUUCGAGACAUCUGCAACGAUAUAUUGUCUCUUUUGGAAAAGUUCUUGAUCCCCAAUGCUUCGCAGCCAGAAGGCAAAGUCUUCUAUUUGAAAAUGAAGGGUGACUACUACCGUUACUUGGCCGAGGUUGCUGCUGGGGAUGACAAGAAAGGAAUUGUGGACCAGUCACAGCAAGCAUACCAAGAAGCAUUUGAAAUCAGCAAAAAGGAGAUGUAGCCAACACACCCCAUCAGACUGGGUCUGGCCCUGAACUUCUCUGUUCUAACAAGAACCUGAACUCCCCAGAGAAAGCCUGCUCUCUUGCAAAAACAGCUUUCGAUGAAGCCAUUGCUGAACUUGAUACAUUAAGUGAAGAAUCGUACAAAGACAGCACGCUAAUAAUGCAGUUACUAAGAGACAACCUGACAUUGUGGACAUCGGAUACUGAAGGAGACGAAGCAGAAGCAGGAGAAGGAGGGGAAAAUUAACCGGCCUUCCAACCUUUGUCUGCCUCGUUCUAAAAUUUACACAGUAGACCAUUUGUCAUCCAUGCUGUCUCACAGAUAGUUUUUUUGUUUAUGAUUUAUGACAGGUUUAUGUUACUUCUAUCUGAAUUUCUAUAUAUUUCCCAUGUGGUCUUUAUGUUUUAAUAUUAGGGGAGUAGAGCCAGUUAACUUUAGGGAGUUACUCGUUUUCAUCUUGAGGUGGCCAAUAUGGGAUGUGGAAUUUUUACAUGAGUUACACAUGUUUGGCAUAGUACUUUUGGUACAUUGUGCCUUCAGAAGGGCCAGUGUUAAAACUGCUUCCAUGUCUAAGCAAAGAAAACUGCCUACAUAUUUGUGUGUUCCGGGGGGG